CUCCAUUCUGACACUGUUAAUUCACAGUCUAUCUUGUGCAUGCUGGACACCAUCCUGCUGUUUCCAGGAUGUCUCGGUACCCUUCUUAUGGUCCUGCCGUGGUGAUUCUGUCGCUGGCCAUUCCUUUCAACCCAAAGGAUGGUUCUUUCUAACACACAAAGCACAGGGAGGUGCCAGGCCUUCCUGAUGCCUCUUCAGCCACAUCCUUGGGCAUGUCAUGCCUGGUUCUCUGUGGUCAUCCAUCUCUCAUGCAGGAUAUUCCUGCACUGCACCUGAGCAGGCGGUGAAAUAUUGCAUAUACACAUCCUUACAGGCUAACACGAAGUGUUGCUGGCUGUAUGUGUAUAUUGCUGAUUAUUUUGCAAUAGUUCUUCCUAUACAUUACUCCACGUACCCAAUCGGUGAUGCACGAUGGCCAUGACAUAAAAUUCUUACCUUGCUGUUACACAGAAAAGCAUUCCAUUCCCGCAGAGGGGACUUUGCCAUCCGGCCCACGGGAGCAGCCCCUGCCCAUGGGGUUGGCACGGGGCGGGCUUUGAGGGCCAUUCCCACCCAAACCGGGCUAAGGUUCUGCAGUUCUGUGCUACAGCCCCAGGAUGGGUGCAGCCCCAUUGCUGCUCGGGGGCACUGCUGGGCUGUGUGACUCCGGGAUGGGAAGGGAUCAGCAGCAGCCGGGAAGGGAAACCCUUCAGUGGUCUGAGCCGGAGGGAGCGCGGUGGGGCUGUGGCAUUGCCGGGCCCCACACUCGGGCUCAGGGAGUCUUCCUCCCCACGGAGGACCAGCGCUGCCAAAAGGGCUGUGCACGGCAGUGCCUCCAGCGCUCCUGCACCCACCGCCACAGCCUGGAGAAGCUGUGCUGCAGGCGCUGCCUGGCCCGGCACAGCCCCGGGGUCACCCACAGAUGGGCCGUGCCCUUGGGACCCCAGAGGCACCCCGUUGGGUUAGUCCUGCCUGCAUCUGCUGGGAUGGCCCUGUCUGGAUCCAUGGGGAUGUUUCUGCGUGGAUCCAUCGGGCUGAUCCUGCCUGGGUCCAUCAGCACGCUCUGGUCCAGAUCCUGUGGGGCGCUCCCGUCUGCUCCCACUUCUGGGUGCUCAUCUGUGUCCAGGUUCAUGUCCGCAUCCGUGUCCAUGUCCUUAUGAUUGUUCAUAUCCAUGUCGGUGGCCCUCUUCAGUAGCGGCCACAUCCCCGUAGUAAGGACAUUCAUCUGAACAAGCAGAUGGAGACUGGGGGGCUCCUGGGCCGGGGGCUCCUGGGCGGGGGGCUCCUGGGCCGGGGGGGUCGUGAAGGGGCUCUCUGGGCGUCC
rnacentral:lncRNA from 1 species